rnacentral:rRNA from 1 species
UCAGACGAUGCGUCAUGCAUAUCAAUAAGCGGAGGAAAAGAAACUAACAAGGAUUCCCUUAGUAACGGCGAGUGAAGCGGGAAGAGCUCAAAUUUGAAAUCUUCAAGGUUUUACCUUGACGAAUUGUAGUUUAAAGAAGUGUUUUCUGUUGAAGUUUUGGUAAAAGUUCUUUGGAAUAGGACAUCACUAGAGGGUGAGAAUCCCGUAUUUGACCAUUAUUUUCAGCUGUGUGAUACACUUUCAAAGAGUCGGAUUGUUUGGGAAUGCAGUCCAAAAUGGGUGGUAAAUUUCAUCUAAAGCUAAAUAUUGGCGAGAGACCGAUAGCGAACAAGUACCGUGAGGGAAAGAUGAAAAGAACUUUGAAAAGAGAGUUAAACAGUACGUGAAAUUGUCAAAAGGGAAGCGUUUGACACCAGUGUUGUUUUCUCGAAAAUCAAUUAAAAAGAGUUGGAUUUUGUGUUGUAUUGACCUUAACAGCUUGCUUCACUCUUUUCCUGCUUUUUUUAAUGCACUUUUCGUUUAACAAGUCAACAUCAGUUUCUUUUGUUGUAAAAGGGUCAUUGGAAGGUGGCUUUCUCUUCGGAGAAAGUGUUUAUAGCCUUUGAUCUCUGCAAUCGGAGAGACUGAAGUCUGCAGCGUAGAUCCUUCGGGGUUAGAUACAUUUGUGCUAAGCUACAGCUUUUCAUAGACAACUUGUUGACUAUGUUUAGUCUUGUAACUUACCCGCUUAUGCUAUUUUACCUACGCUUAGGAUGUUGAUAUGCAUGACUGAUAU